CCCUUGGUUGUGUACAUGUUAUGAAAUAUCUCGUUUCGUUAUCCCCAUAGUCCACAAUGCAACCUUUAGAAAUGCAAAUUGCACUUAAAAGCAAUGUUGAAAGACAUGGCACUUCAAAAUGAAAUGUUCUACAUGUCCUUUUGAAUGAGAUGUCAGGAAAUAACAAAUCCCCUGUCAGAUUAUACAAUUUUGAUGCAACGGAGAUUUACUAGACAAUAUUUGUCAAUAUAUUAUAUUGGGUGUUAGCGUCAGCUUUUGGUUGAUAGUGUUCUCAUCGGCAAUCAUACCAUAUCUCCUUAUUUUUUAUCAUUCUUAUUCUCAGUCACAUUGUCGGUUUUUGUCAUUACUAAUUUUUAACUUAAGAAAAAAAGUUUAAAACAAUACAUUAUUAAUUUCAUGUGUCCGAAAUUCUUUUCUUGUAUGUAAUUGAAUUAGAAAACGCUCACAGCCG
rnacentral:lncRNA from 1 species